AGACUUGAAAACCCCCGGAUUCCCACCUAGAUAGCGUGGUGUCGGAGCAAUCCGACUAUGGCGAUAAACGCGCCCGUAAUAAGCGGCUCGGACCCGGGGGCGGUACCCGGCGGCUCCACCAACUUCCCUCAUUGGCUGGGAACAAGGGGCCGAAAUAGGAUCGACGGACGUCUAAAGGGGUUAGCUUUCGCUCGGUGAGGUACCACCGUUAUCGGUCCAAGCAUGAUAGUUGCCAAUGACAACCGUGCUCCGGUCGCCGUUGCUGCGUAAGCAGUAACCAGACCGAAACUUAAGCCCUGGCCUCUAGCAAGGUCAGGCGGGGUUCGCAGGCACCUGGCAACAGAAGCCUGCACU
rfam:Roseovarius sp. 22II1-1F6A contig8, whole genome shotgun sequence.